GAUGAGCGCUGGCGGCGUGCCUAAUACAUGCAAGUCGAGCGAACGGACGAGAAGCUUGCUUCUCUGAUGUUAGCGGCGGACGGGUGAGUAACACGUGGAUAACCUACCUACAAGACUGGGAUAACUUCGGGAAACCGGAGCUAAUACCGGAUAAUAUUUUGAACCGCAUGGUUCAAAAGUGAAAGACGGUCUUGCUGUCACUUAUAGAUGGAUCCGCGCUGCAUUAGCUAGUUGGUAAGGUAACGGCUUACCAAGGCAACGAUGCAUAGCCGACCUGAGAGGGUGAUCGGCCACACUGGAACUGAGACACGGUCCAGACUCCUACGGGAGGCAGCAGUAGGGAAUCUUCCGCAAUGGGCGAAAGCCUGACGGAGCAACGCCGCGUGAGUGAUGAAGGUCUUCGGAUCGUAAAACUCUGUUAUUAGGGAAGAACAUAUGUGUAAGUAACUGUGCACAUCUUGACGGUACCUAAUCAGAAAGCCACGGCUAACUACGUG
rnacentral:rRNA from 1 species